rnacentral:rRNA from 1 species
UACGGAGGGUGCAAGCGUUGUUCGGAUUUACUGGGCGUAAAGCGCGCGCAGGUGGAUGAACAAGUCGGAAGUGAAAUCUUGAGGCUCAACCUCGAGGCUGCUCCCGAAACUGUUCGCCUAGGGACUGGUAGAGGCUGGUAGAAUUCCCGGUGUAGCGGUGGAAUGCGUAGAGAUCGGGAAGAAUACCUGUGGCGAAGGCGGCCAGCUGGGCCAGAUCCGACACUGAGGCGCGAAAGCGUGGGGAGCAAACAGG